rnacentral:rRNA from 1 species
UACGUAGGUGGCAAGCGUUGUCCGGAUUUACUGGGCGUAAAGAGCGCGCAGGCGGUCGUUCAAGUCGCGUGUGAAAGCCCCCGGCUCAACUGGGGAGGGUCACGCGAUACUGAUCGACUCGAAGGCAGGAGAGGGUGGUGGAAUUCCCGGUGUAGUGGUGAAAUGCGUAGAUAUCAGGAAGAACACCCGUGGCGAAAGCGGCUCUCUGGAACGGUACUGACGCUGAGACGCGAAAGCGUGGGGAGCGAACAGG